UACGUAGGCAGCAAGCGUUGUUCGGAAUUACUGGGCGUAAAGCGCACGUAGGCGGCUUUGUAAGUUAGAGGUGAAAGCCCGGGGCUCAACCCCGGAAUUGCCUUUAAGACUGCAUCGCUAGAAUUGUGGAGAGGUAAGUGGAAUUCCGAGUGUAGAGGUGAAAUUCGUAGAUAUUCGGAAGAACACCAGUGGCGAAGGCGACUUACUGGACACAUAUUGACGCUGAGGUGCGAAAGCGUGGGGAGCAAACAGG
rnacentral:rRNA from 1 species